AAAAACAUUUCUUCCUAGAUUAGGAGGUAAGGCCUGCUCACUGAAAAUUUAAAGAGCCGCAGUAUCCUAACUGUGCUAAGGUAGCAUAAUCAUUAGUCUUUUAAUUGAAGACUGGUAUGAAUGGCUUAACGAGAGAUUGACUUUUUUUAUUAUACAAAUUUAAUUUAAUUUUUUAGUGAAAAAGCUAAAAUUUUUCAGAAAGACGAGAAGACCCUAUAGAGUUUUAUGUUUUUUAUAUUUUUUAUUAUUAGAUUUUUAAAGAAUUAGUAUAAUUAAACAUUUUGUUGGGGCGACAUUAAGAUAAAAAAAACUCUUAUUUUUUAAAAUUUUUUUAAAAAUGUAAAUUGAUCCUUUAAAAAAGAUUAUAAGAAAAAAUUACCUUAGGGAUAACAGCGUAAUCUUUUUUGAGAGUUCUAAUCGACAAAAAGGUUUGCGACCUCGAUGUUGGACUAAAAUUUAGACAAGGUGCAGCCGCUUUGUUUUUAGGUCUGUUCGACCUAUAAAA
rnacentral:rRNA from 1 species